CCAAUAGCGUAUAUUAAAGUUGUUGCAGUUAAAAAGCUCGUAGUUGAAUUUCGGGAUUAGUAAGUUGGUCGUGCCUCUGGUAUGUACUGGCUUUACUGGUUCCUCCUUCUUGAAGAACUGUAAUGUCAUUAAUUUAGUGUUGCAGGGAAACAGGACUGUUACUUUGAAAAAAUUAGAGUGUUUAAAGCAGGCUAACGCCUGAAUACAUUAGCAUGGAAUAAUGAAAUAGGACGUUUGAUCCUAUUUUGUUGGUUUCUAGGAUUGACGUAAUGAUUAAUAGGGAUAGUUGGGGGCAUUAGUAUUCAAUUGUCAGAGGUGAAAUUCUUGGAUUUAUUGAAGACUAACUACUGCGAAAGCAUUUGCCAAGGAUGUUUUCAUUAAUCAAGAACGAAAGUUAGGGGAUCGAAGACGAUCAGAUACCGUCGUAGUCUUAACCAUAAACUAUGCCGACUAGGGAUCGGAUGAUGUUAAUUUUUUAAUGACUCAUUCGGCGCCUUACG
rnacentral:rRNA from 1 species